UUCGCCUCCGACGGCGCAGUCGGCGUAAAUCGGUGUAACUGUACUGACGCUGUAAAACAGCGCAUCCCUAAUAAGAUUGCCACAAACCAAUCUAAUAAUUUGUUUAUGGCGUCGGCAACUGUGACAGCCGUUGAUGUUGACGACCUUCAUACUCGCAAUCAAGUCCUCGUCGUUAUUGUAUCGUCAGUCCAACCAUCACACUAACCAUAUUGUUCAAUGGCAAAAAAAAAUGGAACGAAGCACCCCCAAUUCCACAUGGAGUUGUGUUCCGGACAUGGAAUGAAAUGGAACUUUCAUCGGGAAGGACAUACCUAAUUGGUUCGUGUAAUUUCUUUCAAAUUGUGUGACCACGGGUCAACGCUGGCCAAAAGUCAAGGCAACGGCCACGCAACCAUGGCCGUUACCAGUGUACAGGAAACCUCGAGCUCUCAUCCUCCUGACGUCGCCCCUGCUGCGGGCGCCUCUCCAUAGGCGUCGCCGUUCGGAGUCGCAAGACCAGCUCUGGGUCGUCCGGCAAGCCAAAGAUGCCACCCGAGACGAAAAACUUCGAGCCGCCACCUGAGGCCACCGCAACAAAACUGCCGGACCAU